AGAGUUUGAUCCUGGCUCAGAUUGAACGCUGGCGGCAGGCUUAACACAUGCAAGUCGAACGGUAACAUGGGUGCUUGCACCUGAUGACGAGUGGCGGACGGGUGAGUAAUGUAUGGGGAUCUGCCGAAUGGAAUGGGACAACAGUUGGAAACGACUGCUAAUACCGUAUAAUGUCGCGAGACCAAAGUGUGGGACCUUCGGGCCUCUUGCCAUCAGAUGUGCCCAGAUGGGAUUAGCUAGUAGGUGGGGUAACGGCUCACCUAGGCGACGAUCCCUAGCUGGUCUGAGAGGAUGACCAGCCACACUGGAACUGAGACACGGUCCAGACUCCUACGGGAGGCAGCAGUGGGGAAUAUUGCACAAUGGGCGCAAGCCUGAUGCAGCCAUGCCGCGUGAGUGAUGAAGGCCUUAGGGUUGUAAAGCUCUUUCACCGAUGAAGAUAAUGACGGUAGUCGGAGAAGAAGCCCCGGCUAACUUCGUGCCAGCAGCCGCGGUAAUAC
rnacentral:rRNA from 1 species